rnacentral:rRNA from 1 species
CCUACGGGAGGCUGCAGUGGGGGAUAUUGCACAAUGGGGGGAACCCUGAUGCAGCGACGCCGCGUAGGUGAAGAAGCGCCUCGGCGCGUAGAGCCCUGUCAGCAGGGAAGAACGUGACGGUACCUGAAGAAGAAGCCCCAGCUAACUACGUGCCAGCAGCCGCGGUAGUACGUAGGGGGCAAGCGUUAUCCGGAUUUACUGGGGGUAAAGGGGGCGCAGACGGCGAGGCAAGCCAGGAGUGAAAGCCCGGGGCCCAACCCCGGGACUGAUCUUGGAACUGCGUGGCGGGAGUGCAGGAGGGGCAGGCGGAAUGCGUGGUGUAGCGGUGAAAUGCGUAGAUAUCAGGAGGAACACCGGUGGCGAAGGCGGCCUGCUGGACUGCAACUGACGUUGAGGCCCGAAAGCGUGGGGAGCAAACAGGAUUAGAUACCCGAGUAGUC